CACAUAGAGGAAAAAAUCCCCAAUUCAGCUAUUUUUCUAACUCUGUUAUAUCUUAAAAAUGUAAUCCCAUUGUCAAGUCUCCACAAUUACUGCUUGCGUGAAUAAUACUGAAACUGUGUUAGUGCAAUCAUAGAGCGAGUUAAUCACAUUUGGGUUUGUGGGGUUUAAUCACUAAAUGGCAAAUUAUAGUGAAUUAUAAAACUAAAUGCAAUAUUGAGGCCAAAAUGGCAGAUUCUUAAUUUUUUUUCCAGCUACAGUCACAAUGUAUGCUUAAUCCUCUGUAU